CUUAAUGGCGGCUGUGCGCAGGGCACCUUCGGGUGCGCCGGUUCUUGGCUCACCGGUCGACUAACCUGCGUACAGUGGCUUCCCAC
rnacentral:antisense_RNA from 2 species